GCAGUAGACUUUUCCAACAACUUUAACGAUCAAGGAAUGAUGAGGAGGAUAGUAAGGAGUUGGGGGUGGUGGUGAAGUGUAGUAGUAAGGUGGAGGAGGUGACUUAACUGGUGGUGGAGGGGAGGAGUAGUAGUAAGGUGGAGGAGGUGACUUAACUGGUGGGGGAGGGGAGGAGUAGUAGUAAGGAGGAGGAGGUGACUUAACUGGUGGUGGAGGGGAAGAGUAGUAGUACGGUGGUGGAGGUGACUUAACUGGUGGUGGAGGAGAGGAGUAGUAGUACGGUGGAGGAGGUGACUUAACUGGUGGUGGAGGGGAGGAGUAGUAGUACGGUGGAGGAGGUGACUUAGCAGGUGGUGGUGGGGACUUGUAAUAGUAAGGUGGUGGGGGAGAGGGUGAAGGGGGUGGUGGUGAUUUAUAGUAGUAUGGUGGAGGUGGUGAUGGAGAAGGUGGUGGGGGAGACUUGUAAUAAUAAGGUGGAGGUGGUGAAGGUGAAGGUGGUGGCGGGGAUUUGUAGUAAUAUGGUGGUGGAGGUGAUGGUGAAGGAGGUGGUGGUGAUUUAUAUACAUAUGGUGGUGGUG
rnacentral:lncRNA from 1 species